UACAGAGUUUGAUCCCUGGCUCAGGAUGAGGACGCUAGCGGCAGGCUUAAUACAUGCAAGUCGAUAGGCAGUCGGGUGCUUGAUGAGAGCACGGGUGCGUAACGCGUAUGCAACCUACCAGUAACAGGGGGAUAGCCCGGAGAAAUUCGGAUUGAUACCCCGUAGCAAUUAUUGGUGGCAUCACUGAUAGUUUAAAGCUAAGGCGGUUAGAGAUGGGCAUGCGUUCCAUUAGCUAGUUGGUGAGGUAACUCACCAAGGCGACGAUGGAUAGGGGACCUGAGAGGGCGAUCCGGCACACUGGUACUGAGACACGGACCAGACUCCUACGGGAGGCAGCAGUAAGGAAUAUUGGGCAAUGGCCGCAAGGCUGACCCAGCCAUGCCGCGUGCAGGAAGACGGCCUUAUGGGUUGUAAACUGCUUUUGUCAGGGAGUAAAUCCUUAUACGACAAUAAGGUUGAAAGUACCUGAAGAAUAAGCAUCGGCUAACUCUCGUGCCAGCAGCCGCGGUACCGCGGACGAUGCGAGCGUGAUCCGGAUUCAUUGGGUGUAUGGGGUGCGCAGACUAGCUAAUAAGUCAGGUGAAAUUCCACGGCUCAACUGUGGGGCUGCCUAGCAUACUGUUAGUCUUGAGUAGUUGAGGUGGCGGAAUGUAGCAUGUAGCAUUGAAAUGCAUAGAUAUGCUACAGAACACCGAUAGCUUCAGCAGCUCACCAAGUUAUAACUGACGCUCAUGCACGAAAGCGUGGGAUCAAACAGGAUUAGAUACCCUGGUAGUCCACGCUGUAAACGAUGAUCACUCGUUGUUGGCGAUACACAGUCAGCGGCUAAGCGAAAGUCAUAAGUGAUCCACCUGGGGAGUACGAUCGCAAGGUUGAAACUCAAAGGAAUUGACGCAUGCCCGCACAAGCGGUGGAGCAUGUGGUGUAAUUCGAUGAUACGCGAGGAACCUUACCUGGGCUUGAACGCUAGAUGUUAUUGGGAGAAAUCUCAAUAGGCUUCGGCCGUUGAGCCUGGUGCUGCCUGGUUGUCGUCAGCUCGUGCCGUGAGGUGUCGGGUUAAGUCCCAGAGCGCAACCCUUAUCAUGAGUUGCCAAGCUCAGGUAAAGCUGGGGACUCUAGUCUGAAACUGCCUACGCAAGUAGAGACAAGGUGGAUAUGACGUCAAAUCAGCACGUAUCUCACGUCCAGGGCUACACACGUGCUACAUUAGCCGGUACAGAGGGCAGCCACCUGGUGACAGCCUGCGAAUCUCGAAAGCCGGUCUCAGUUCGAGAUCGAAGUCUGCAACCUCGACUUCGUGAAGCUGGAAUAGUUAGUAAUCGCGCAUCAGCCAUGGCGCGGUGAAUACGUGGGCCUUGUACACAGCCGCCCGUCAAGCCAUUGGUGCAGCCGGGGUACCUGAAGUCGGUAACCGCAAGGAGCCGCCUAGGGUAAUACUUGGUGACUGGGGCUAAGUCGUAACAAGGCGCCUGUGA
rnacentral:rRNA from 1 species